CUGGAUUCUCCAGCUGGGCCCAAUGGAAUCAGAAGAGUCCUUCUAAGUGAAGGAGGGAGGCAGGAGAAUCAGAGUCAGAGUGAUGCAUCGUGGGAAACACUUGACUGUCCAUUGCUAGCUUUGAAGAUGGAGGGAGGGGCCAUGAGUGGAGGAAUGCUGGCCUCUAGAAGCUGGAAAUGGCCGAGAAGUGGAUUCUCCAGAGGGAACACAGCCGUGCUGACACCUUGAUUUUAGCCUGGUGAGACGCUGCCACAGCGUGGCUUGAUGAGCGGUGUGUAGGUCCACAUCAGGGAUCCAAACCCACAAACCCUGGACCACUGAAGCAGAGCGCACAAAUUUAACUGCUAUGCCACUCAGCCGGCCCCCAGAAUAUUUUUAAUAGACAGUGACAGAAAACCCAAAGUGGCUUGAACAAGCAAACAGCAAAGCAGGAGAGAAUGAUUUAUGUAACUAAGAAGUCUAAAGGCAGACAGCUUCAGGCAAGGCUGUACCUGGGUGCUUGAUGCCGUCAGCAGGAAUCGGCUCUCCCAGCCUCUUGGCUUGGCUUCCUCCCCUCUGUACUGGUGUCCUUCUCAAGUGGUUUUUCCGUUGAUGAAAGAAGAUGGCCACCACCGGUCACAGGCCUCAACAGCCCAACGGAAAUAGAACUUCUCUUCCCCAGGAUUCCAAACCUAAGUGCUCCCUGUUCCCCAGGUGGGGGAUGGUGUGGUGCCUGGGAGAGCAGGGCCAAGGGUCCAGCCACCAUGCUCCUCUCUACCUGAUUUCCUGGGAUGAGCCUACUCCCAUGGGCUUCCCGCUCCCCACUGAUUUCUCCUUACAAAGGAUUCACGGCCGCGCUUCUUCCCUCCCUCGCCUCCUUUCCAAGCCCCGCUUCACUGGUAGCAAAGAGGAGCAGGACUUCCUGUUGGAAGACAGGAUUUGGGGUCCACUCCCAGCUUCACGGUCUGCUUUUUGUGUCCCAUAAUAAUCACUUAUUCAGUCCACAAAUGUCUGCUGAGCACCUACUGUGUGCUACUCUGAGUUUCCAAGGCUGUUAGUUGUUCCAGGCAGGGGCCAUCGCCCAGGAGCCUUCCGAAAGAAAUGAGUUCUGUCCA
rnacentral:lncRNA from 1 species